CACCAUUAGAUUUGGCUGAAUUUAAAUCUCAGCCACUUAAACUCCCAAAAAUAACUGCUGUCAUGGAAGUUCUGGGCAGUUCUUUACAGUUUCCAGCAUCUUCCCGUUUUUCUGCCCACGUCUGGUUAUUAUUAUGAGAAAACUGUUCUCGCAUUUCAAGGUAGUUUCUUCCUCAUCCCCACUCUCCCCGUAAUUUCAGCCUUAGCGGUUUUAAACCCACGUCUCUACUCACAUCUUUCAACCAACUGCCGCCACCCAUUAUAAACCCCCACCUCCACUAUCUCCCUCCUUCAAACCUACAACAUAAAAUUGGCAGUUUAUCAAGGAUAACAGUUUUGGAUUUGGUGGAUAGUUUCUUCCCCAUUCCACUGCCUCAUGAUUCCAGGUCUCCAUCGCUCCUCAACCACCAUAAACCCUACCAACACCUACGCUCUCUUCAAAUCUGAAGCCGAUUGGGCUCAAAUUGAAGGGAAACCCCAGAUGUAGAGAUGUUCAUCGCAGGACUAAAAGAGAGAUGUACAAGACAUGCUUGGUUAUUGGCAAGGGUUGUUAGGAGAGCGCUUUCUUCAUUGGUUAUUUUAAUAUCAUUGGCAAUCUAAACCAAAUUCAAGUCAUAGAUCAAUCCAAGGCAUCAUUAUGGGAAUAAUCUUCACUUUUAAUACCUUAAAUGGUUGCACUCUCCAACUAUCCAAGCAAAGAAGCUUUUUACUGUCAGGAUGGAUGUAGGAGAAGGUAAAGAAGUGAAUCUUGUCUAAGAGUGUCCAAGAUGAAGACUUCAACAACAAUGCAUUAAAUAUCUCGACACCGUAGAUGUCUUUACCGUUUUCUUGAUUUUCCAUUUUCAUUACAUUCUAACAAAAGUUCUUACCGAGUUUUUUUAGAUUUUAAGUUUUAUAUUUUUUGUAGAUGGAAAGGACAUCUUAUGAAACAGUGAUCGAAAAUGAGAAACUCUUUCAAACAAAAAAUAUAUUUUCUUUACACAAAAAAACGGGGUGUUGAUCGAUACAAUGGGUCAAACAAAAGGUGCUAAGUGCAUCUUUGUUCUUAGUCCAUAGUAGUCGAACGGGGUAUCGCGCCAUUUGUGCACAUAGUGCCCUAUGGCGCUAUGCAACACCGCCCCGAGGGGCGCCAUACGUCGGAAUCCAGAGAGCUCACGAAAAUUAUAACGGGCGCUACACUAAGGUUUCUCACACACACAUAUUUGUAUGUGUGUGUGUGUAUCUUACAUUUAUGCAACUCAAUCCAAGGCAUCAUUAUGGGCAUAAUCUUCACUUUAUUACCUUAAAUGGUUGCACUCUCCAAGCAAAGAAGCUUUUUUACUGUCAGGCUGUAUGUAGAAGGUAAAGAAGUGAAUCUUGUCUAAGAGUGUCCAAGAUGAAGACUUCAACAACAUUUGCCACGGGUCGUAUAACCCCACAUCGCAUGGGGUUAUGAGAGGUUACCACUACGCAUGGCCUUAGUACAACCUACAUAUUAUAUGUCAGAAAAAAAUAAGCUUCCUUUCACCAUUCAACUUUUUUUUUCCAAAGGGGCUGCACCAGCAGCAUAUGGAAUUGUUGGAGUGGAACAUCAAAUAUGGUUGUCAUACACUACACAUUUUGUCUUACAAGUGAAUUUCUGUAUACUUUGACUUUUAAGAGUCAAAGGAUUAGUAAUAGAACCAUAAUUUAUGACUUUGAUUUAUAAAAAA